GGAUCGUUAGCUCAGAGAGUAGAGCACUCAAUUUGUAAACGAGAAGCCCUGGGUUCGAGUCCCAGACGAUCCA
rnacentral:tRNA from 1 species